GCAGGACAUGCCCUUAGUGAAGCCAUGCUGCUUCUCCACUACCACCUCCCUGUCUUCCAUGUGCCUUAGCAUAGCUCCCAGGAGGAUCAGCUCCAUGAUCUUUCCCAGCAUAAAGUUUAAUGUGCAUGGAUGCGAUUUCCACAGCGAUUGCUACAAUUGCAGUGCAGACUCUUUGAAGCAGCCAUCCACUCUAUUUCUUGGGGAAAGAAAAAUACAUAAAUGACUGAAAUCAACAGUAGUGAAGAAGUAGAAGCUUCCUGGCUUCUGAUCAGCAAGGGGGAAAAAAAGGAAAAGAAAAAGAAAAAGGUGGUUGCUGUAAAACACAAGGGAGAGGAAAAGAACAGUAAACAAGACAAAACAGACCUAAUUGGAAACAGUGCUUUAGCAGCUCUCUGGAAUAGAAGGUUCCAAACAGUGUGACCAUACCCAGACAUCUAUCAGAAUAAGUUCCAGGCUCGUUCCUGUUCCUGCAGCAUCCCUGGGAGCAGCCUAGCAAGGACCAUCUGCAAUGUGACAGCAGAUGUCCACAAUUGAAUUGGACCAGCAGGUGACUAAGAUGACAAGGCCACCUUAUGGAGACUAUCAGCUCAUGGCUGAAUACGGGCAGCUCAUAGGAACACACUGGGACUGCUGUAUGUACAUCUGAACCCUGCACUCAGCUGCUUUCCACUUCCCAGCAAGCUGUUGAUAUUAGAUGCUCUCUGCCUGAAAUCUGUCCCUCAAGGCCGUUACAAAUCUCAUGGUGCCUUCUGGUCAGCCUAGUGAGGUACUGGUUUUGCUUAGAGAUAAAACAACCCAGGGAACUUUCAGGUCUGGAUGCAGUAAUUUGGUGAUUUUAUCAGCCGUAGGUGUACAGUUGGACUGGGUGAUCACGGAUGUCUUUUCCAACCUCAGUGAUUCUAUGGUUCUGUGAUGUAUUAGUUAUUAAUGGCAAUGCUUCCAGAGGGCUAAGCAUUUCUCAGGCAGCCACACAGCAUCCUUGGCCUGUAAGAGAUGGGAGUUUAUGAACACACAGACAGUAAAGAAAAGAG